rnacentral:rRNA from 1 species
AUUGAACGCUGGCGGCAUGCUUUACACAUGCAAGUCGAGCGGCAGCGCGGGACUCAGGCAACUGAGCUCUGGCGGCGAGCGGCGGACGGGUGAGUAAAGCAUCGGAACGUAUCCCGUAGUGGGGGACAACCCAGCGAAAGCUGGGCUAAUACCGCAUAUGCUCUACGGAGGAAAGCAGGGGACUCUGAGGGAAACUGAGGGGCCUUGUGCUAUGGGAGCGGCCGAUGUCCGAUUAGCUAGUUGGUGGGGUAAAGGCUUACCAAGGCGACGAUCGGUAGCUGGUCUGAGAGGAUGAUCAGCCACACUGGGACUGAGACACGGCCCAGACUCCUACGGGA